AGAGACCUCAAGCGUUAUCCGGAAUCAUUGGGCGUAAAGCGUACCGAGAGGUGGUUUUACAAGUCAGAGGUGAAAUCCCAAGGCUCAACUUUGGGACUGUCCUUUGAAACUGUACAACUAGAGGGGCAAAGAGGAAGCUGGAACGAACGGUGUAGUAGUGAAAUGCGUUGAUAUCGUUCGGAACACCAAUAGCGUAGGCAGGCUUCUGGGUGCCACCUGACACUGCUAGGACGAAAGCGUGGGGAGCGAAUGGG
rnacentral:rRNA from 1 species